GGUCAUUAUGUAUUAUCAUGUAGAUAUAGGCUUACUAGGAGGGUGAAUACGUAGGCUUGAAUUAAUGCUACUGCAAAUUCUAGAAUUGUGAGUAGAAGUAAAAUAAUAAAUGUAAUGGUAGCUGUUGGUGGGCUAAUAUUUAUUAAUACUAGAGUAGCUCCUCCGAUUAGGUGUAUUAAUAAGUGUCCUGCAGUAAUGUUAGCUGUAAGCCGGACUGCUAAUGCCAUUGGUUGAAUAAAUAGGCUAAUUGUUUCAAUAAUAAUAAGUAUUGGAAUUAGUGAAAUUGGAGUUCCUUGUGGAAGGAAGUGGGCAAGUGAGCUUUUUAGUUUGUGUCGGAAGCCUGUAAUUACGGCUCCAGCUCAUAGUG
rnacentral:lncRNA from 1 species